AUUGGACGCUGGCGGAAUGCUUUACACAUGCAAGUCGAACGGUAGAGGGGGCAACCCCUCGAGAGUGGCGAACGGGUGAGUAAUAUAUCGGAACGUGCCCAGUCGUGGGGGAUAACGUAGCGAAAGUUACGCUAAUACCGCAUACGAUCUAAGGAUGAAAGCGGGGGAUCGCACGACCUCGCGCGAUUGGAGCGGCCGAUAUCAGAUUAGGUAGUUGGUGGGGUAAAGGCUCACCAAGCCAAAGAUCUGUAGCUGGUCUGUGAGGACGACCAGCCACACUGGAACUGAGACACGGUCCUGACUCCUACGGGAGGCAGCAGUGGGGAAUUUUGGACAAUGGACGCAAGUCUGAUCCAGCCAUUCCGCGUGCAGGAUGAAGGCCCUCGGGUUGUAAACUGCUUUUGUACGGAACGAAAAGGUCUCUCUUAAUACGGGGGACUCAUGACGGUACCGUAAGAAUAAGCACCGGCUAACUACGUGCCAGCCGCCGCGGUAA
rnacentral:rRNA from 1 species